rnacentral:rRNA from 1 species
GAUGAACGCUGGCGGCGUGCCUAAUACAUGCAAGUCGAGCGAACGGACGAGAAGCUUGCUUCUCUGAUGUUAGCGGCGGACGGGUGAGUAACACGUGGAUAACCUACCUAUAAGACUGGGAUAACUUCGGGAAACCGGAGCUAAUACCGGAUAAUAUUUUGAACCGCAUGGUUCAAAAGUGAAAGACGGUCUUGCUGUCACUUAUAGAUGGAUCCGCGCUGCAUUAGCUAGUUGGUAAGGUAGCGGCUUACCAAGGCAACGAUGCAUAGCCGACCUGAGAGGGUGAUCGGCCACACUGGAACUGAGACACGGUCCAGACUCCUACGGGAGGCAGCAGUAGGGAAUCUUCCGCAAUGGGCGAAAGCCUGACGGAGCAACGCCGCGUGAGUGAUGAAGGUCUUCGGAUCGUAAAACUCUGUUAUUAGGGAAGAACAUAUGUGUAAGUAACUGUGCACAUCUUGACGGUACCUAAUCAGAAAGCCACGGCUAACUACGUGCCAGCAGCCGCGGUAAUACGUAGGUGGCAAGCGUUAUCCGGAAUUAUUGGGCGUAAAGCGCGCGUAGGCGGUUUUUUAAGUCUGAUGUGAAAGCCCACGGCUCAACCGUGGGGGGUCAUUGGAAACUGGAAAACUUGAGUGCAGAAGAGGAAAGUGGAAUUCCAUGUGUAGCGGUGAAAUGCGCAGAGAUAUGGAGGAACACCAGUGGCGAAGGCGACUUUCUGGUCUGUAACUGACGCUGAUGUGCGAAAGCGUGGGGAUCAAACAGGAUUAGAUACCCUGGUAGUCCACGCCGUAAACGAUGAGUGCUAAGUGUUAGGGGGUUUCCGCCCCUUAGUGCUGCAGCUAACGCAUUAAGCACUCCGCCUGGGGAGUACGACCGCAAGGUUGAAACUCAAAGGAAUUGACGGGGACCCGCACAAGCGGUGGAGCAUGUGGUUUAAUUCGAAGCAACGCGAAGAACCUUACCAAAUCUUGACAUCCUUUGACAACUCUAGAGAUAGAGCCUUCCCCUUCGGGGGACAAAGUGACAGGUGGUGCAUGGUUGUCGUCAGCUCGUGUCGUGAGAUGUUGGGUUAAGUCCCGCAACGAGCGCAACCCUUAAGCUUAGUUGCCAUCAUUAAGUUGGGCACUCUAAGUUGACUGCCGGUGACAAACCGGAGGAAGGUGGGGAUGACGUCAAAUCAUCAUGCCCCUUAUGAUUUGGGCUACACACGUGCUACAAUGGACAAUACAAAGGGCAGCGAAACCGCGAGGUCAAGCAAAUCCCAUAAAGUUGUUCUCAGUUCGGAUUGUAGUCUGCAACUCGACUACAUGAAGCUGGAAUCGCUAGUAAUCGUAGAUCAGCAUGCUACGGUGAAUACGUUCCCGGGUCU